AAGAAUCAUCCGGGUAAAACGAUACAAUUUUCAAAUACUUUUCUACGGUGGCUCAGACGCCCUUUUCUUAGUCUUAGUAGUUUCCAUUCUUUACCCACCCUAAAUACUUUCCUUAUCCCUGACCCUUUAAAAGCAGGCUGUAACGAAUUUGCAGAGACAAAAGGGUGGUGAUCGCUUACGAUUAGGCAAAGUUAGCUCGGAUGUCCGCUCCAAAAUAAAAGAAAAACGUAAAAUAGUUAUAAUGUUUUCAUACAUAGGUAUCGUCCAAAUCGUCUGCAUUCUUUACGCAUUGCUGCUACUGGGUUCUGUGCGUUUAUUUUGUUACUGCGAUCAUCGAGAUUUUAUCGAACGUUACAUAGAAGGCUUCAAACGUCCAACGGAUCGGAUCACGUGGCGUCGCUCCGUGCUGCGGCUGCGGGACUCGCAAUGAUACUGCGCGCUGCGAACAUUUACCGCGUCCUUCGUACCACACCGCGUGAUCAGUCGAGACCGUUCUAGAAUGUUCUAUGAUUCGAAAUUUGAAAUUGUAACAGCUACAUUCCAUAUUGAAAAGUAAAUAAACAUUGAAAAGUGA